UAUUACGGCCAUAUCACGUUGAUUGCAUCCGAAGUUAAGCAACGUUGAGUCUAGUUAGUACUUAGAUGGGUGACCGCUUGGGAAACCUAAGUGCUGUAAGCA
rnacentral:rRNA from 1 species